rnacentral:rRNA from 1 species
GUGUCAGCAGCCGCGGUAAUACGAAGGGGGCUAGCGUUGUUCGGAAUUACUGGGCGUAAAGCGCACGUAGGCGGACAUUUAAGUCAGGGGUGAAAUCCCGGAGCUCAACUCCGGAACUGCCUUUGAUACUGGGUGUCUUGAGUGUGGAAGAGGUGAGUGGAAUUCCGAGUGUAGAGGUGAAAUUCGUAGAUAUUCGGAGGAACACCAGUGGCGAAGGCGGCUCACUGGUCCAUUACUGACGCUGAGGUGCGAAAGCGUGGGGAGCAAACAGGAUUAGAUACCCUAGUAGUCC